GACAGAGGGUGCAAACGUUGCUCGGAAUUACUGGGCGUAAAGCGCGUGUAGGCGGAUUUGCAAGUCGGAUGUGAAAUCCCUGGGCUCAACCCAGGAACUGCACUCGAAACUGUGAGUCUUGAGUAUCGGAGAGGAAAGCGGAAUUCCUGGUGUAGAGGUGAAAUUCGUAGAUAUCAGGAGGAACACCGGUGGCGAAGGCGGCUUUCUGGACGAUAACUGACGCUGAGACGCGAAAGCGUGGGGAGCAAACAGG
rnacentral:rRNA from 3 species